rnacentral:rRNA from 1 species
AGUGAACGCUGGCGGUAGGCCUAACACAUGCAAGUCGAACGGCAGCACAGUAAGAGCUUGCUCUUACGGGUGGCGAGUGGCGGACGGGUGAGGAAUACAUCGGAAUCUACUUUUUCGUGGGGGAUAACGUAGGGAAACUUACGCUAAUACCGCAUACGACCUACGGGUGAAAGCAUGGGAUCUUCGGACCUUGCGCGAUUGAAUGAGCCGAUGUCGGAUUAGCUAGUUGGCGGGGUAAAGGCCCACCAAGGCGACGAUCCGUAGCUGGUCUGAGAGGAUGAUCAGCCCCACUGGAAAUGAGACACGGUCCAGACUCCUACGGGAGGCAGCAGUGGGGAAUAUUGGACAAUGGGCGCAAGCCUGAUCCAGCCAUACCGCGUGGGUGAAGAAGGCCUUCGGGUUGUAAAGCCCUUUUGUUGGGAAAGAAAAGCAGCAGGUUAAUACCCCGCUGUUCUGACGGUACCCAAAGAAUAAGCACCGGCUAACUUCGUG